rnacentral:rRNA from 1 species
CCUACGGGUGGCAGCAGUGAGGAAUAUUGGUCAAUGGGCGAGAGCCUGAACCAGCCAAGUCGCGUGAGGGAGUACUGCCCUAUGGGUUGUAAACCUCUUUUGUCGGGGAGCAAAAGCCGGACGUGUCCGGCUGUGAGAGUACCCGAAGAAAAAGAAGCGGCUAACUCCGUGCCAGCAGCCGCGGUAAUACGGAGGAUGCGAGCGUUAUCCGGAGUUAUUGGGUUUAAAGGGUGCGCAGGCGGAUUUUUAAGUCAGCGGGAAAAUCGUGGGGCUCAACCCCAUCCAGCCGUUGAAACUGGGGAUCUAGAGUGUGCGAGAGGUAUGCGGAAUGCGUGGUGUAGCGGUGAAAUGCAUAGAUAUCACGCAGAACCCCGAUUGCGAAGGCAGCAUACCGGUGCACAACUGACGCUCAGGCACGAAAGCGUGGGUAUCGAACAGGAUUAGAUACCCUAGUAGUC